GUUUUCUUGAUUUCAAUGGGUAUCAGAUUGAGUGGUUGCUCUGGAUUCCCCGCUUCAUUGAUUAAUUUGAAACUCAUGGGAUUAUUUCUAUGUCUGUCUGCUAUUGAGGGUUAUUGUUAUUGCAUAAUUUUAAAUCGUAUGCAUCAUUUAAAUUAUAAAAAUAAAUGUCCACAUCGUAACGGGUUUACCUAUAACACCCCUUCAGCCGAAAUGGAGUCUUCCAUAUUAUCGUUUCGAGUUGUCUCCCUUCCGGAAGUAUUUUCCGUCAAAAUUGAAAUACAGUACGACUCGUACGUCAAGAAAAAUUAACUCGUUAGAUGUCGAUAAACGUCGUAUUAUAUUAAGAACGAUCUCAAUUUAAACAGAGGAGUGUGUACGGAAAGGAGUCAUGCCCACUGACCCAAAGGAAAUUAAUAUUUAAAGGGUUAGUAAUGGGGUUCCUCCUAGAAUUAACGGUGAUAAGAUACGAAGUGAAAUACCUUCUCUCAUUCUCAGUGACUGCUGUGGAAAGUAAACUUGGAAUUGAUAGUACAAAAAUAAGACACAAUAAGUACGUUGCUCAUACACUUGUAUGGUAUUGUUUCCGGGAUUUGCCAUUUUUAAAGUUGAGUGACUAUUCUGAUUAUUACAUUUUGCAUGUGCAGUUGAAUUAGUUUUGAAAAUAAAUAAUACUAUCCAGCUGUACCAGGGC
rnacentral:lncRNA from 1 species